GGAGGUGUAGCUCAGGGGUAGAAUACUUUCCUGGCAUGCAUGAGGCCCUGGGUUCAAUACACAGCACCUCAA
rnacentral:tRNA from 1 species